rnacentral:rRNA from 1 species
AUUGAACGCUGGCGGCAGGCUUAACACAUGCAAGUCGAACGAGUGGCGGACGGGUGAGUAAUGUAUGGGAAUCUGCCCUAUGGAGGGGGAUAACUACUGGAAACGGUAGCUAAUACCGCAUACUAUCGGAUGAGCCCAUGUGGGAUUAGGUAGUCGGUGGGGUAAAGGCUCACCGAGGCGACGAUCCCUAGCUGGUCUGAGAGGAUGACCAGCCAAACUGGGACUGAGACACGGCCCAGACUCCUACGGGAGGCAGCAGUGGGGAAUAUGGCACAAUGGGGGCAAGCCUGACGCAGCCAUGCCGCGUGAAUGAAGAAGGCCUUCGGGUUGUAAAGUACUUUCAGUAGGGAGGCGUUACCUACAGAAGAAGCACCGGCUAACUCCGUGCCAGCAGCCGCGGUAAUAC